CCUACGGGAGGCAGCAGUGGGGAAUCUUGCGCAAUGGGCGGAAGCCUGACGCAGCAACGCCGCGUGUGGGAAGACGGCCUUCGGGUUGUAAACCACUUUCAGGGGGGACGAAGCUUCCGAGGUUAAUAGCCUACGGGGUGACGGUACCCCCAGAAGAAGCCCCGGCUAACUACGUGCCAGCAGCCGCGGUAAUACGUAGGGGGCGAGCGUUGUCCGGAAUCAUUGGGCGUAAAGCGCGUGUAGGCGGCUCGAUCAGUCUGGUGUGAAACCUUGGGGCUCAACCCCAAGCCUGCACUGGAUACUGUCGAGCUUGAGUCCGGGAGGGGAGAGCGGAAUUCCUAGUGUAGCGGUGAAAUGCGCAGAUAUUAGGAAGAACACCGGUGGCGAAGGCGGCUCUCUGGAACGGUACUGACGCUGAGACGCGAAAGCGUGGGGAGCGAACAGGAUUAGAUACCCUGGUAGUCCACGCCGUAAACGAUGGGCACUAGAUGUGGGCGGUGUCGACUCCGUCCGUGUCGAAGCUAACGCAUUAAGUGCCCCGCCUGGGGAGUACGGCCGCAAGGCUAAAACUCAAAGGAAUUGACGGGGGCCCGCACAAGCAGCGGAGCAUGUAGUUUAAUUCGACGCAACGCGAAGAACCUUAC
rnacentral:rRNA from 1 species